CUGGGACAACACAGAAAGAGAAGUUACAACAACAAGAAGUUACAACAACGGUACUAAUAAAAGAAUAUACAAAAUGAGUGAUGCAUAGUGCAACUGCUCACCGCCUGGAACCCGAUGCUCCGCUACUUCCCCCACCGAAAA